ensembl:rRNA 5S_rRNA 5S ribosomal RNA
UUUUGUUUUCCCUUUAAGGUCUUGUCAGAUCUCACAAGCUAAGCAGGGUCAGGCCCAGUCAGUAACUGGAUGGCAGACCUCCCCAGCUAACACUAGGUGCUGCAGGAA